rnacentral:rRNA from 1 species
CUACGGGCGGCACCAGUCGAGAAUCAUCCGCAAUGGGCGAAAGCCUGACGGUGCAAUGCCGCGUGGGGGAUGAAGGCCCUCGGGUCGUAAACCCCUGUCAGGAGGGACGAAGAAGUGACGGUACCUCCAGAGGAAGCCACGGCUAACUACGUGCCAGCAGCCGCGGUAAUACGUAGGUGGCGAGCGUUAUUCGGAUUUACUGGGCGUAAAGGGUCCGCAGGGGGUUUGCCAAGUCUGGUGUGAAAUCUCACAGCUCAACUGUGAAACUGCGCUGGAUACUGGUGAACUAGAGUGCGCGAGGGGUGAGUGGAAUUCCUGGUGUAGCGGUAGAAUGCGUAGAUAUCAGGGAGAACACCAACGGCGAAGGCAGCUCACUGGCGCGCAACUGACCCUCAUGGACGAAAGCGUGGGUAGCAAACAGGAUUAGAUACCCCCGUAGUC